rnacentral:rRNA from 1 species
UACGUAGGGUGCGAGCGUUGUCCGGAAUUAUUGGGCGUAAAGAGCUCGUAGGCGGUGUGUCACGUCGGCCGUGAAAACCUGCAGCUUAACUGUGGGCGUGCGGUCGAUACGGGCAUCACUGGAGUUCGGCAGGGGAGACUGGAAUUCCUGGUGUAGCGGUGAAUGCGCAGAUAUCAGGAGGAACACCGGUGGCGAAGGCGGCAUCCUGGACCGGCAUUGAC